rnacentral:rRNA from 1 species
AUGGCGGACGCAUGCGGAGGGGAACACGACGAAGUGGACGGCAACGGCUUGCUCGCGGGCAACGGCUGGAGACGGAGGUCGCCGGCGCAGGGACUCGACCGGAGUCAACGACGCGGUCGUCGCUGGCCCACGCGAUGGGUCAGCGAGGCAGGGACGCUGGCGAUGCAAUGGUCAGGGUGGUACUGCGGUGGCGCCGCACAGCAGAAGAAGAAGAGGGAGGCGCGACAGAGGCGAUGGCACGCGGGUCCGGCGAGUUCCGACCCGUGGCGGUGCACGCGCAGAGGUAGGUCGCGGCGCGCGCGAGGUGGCCAGGUGGCGGCGACGGGCGACGCCGGGAAGAGCAGCUACAGCAGGGCGUGGAAGGAGGAGUAG